rnacentral:rRNA from 1 species
GACGAACGCUGGCGGCGUGCUUAACACAUGCAAGUCGAACGGAAAGGCCCUGCUUUUGUGGGGUGCUCGAGUGGCGAACGGGUGAGUAACACGUGAGUAACCUGCCCUUGACUUUGGGAUAACUUCAGGAAACUGGGGCUAAUACCGGAUAGGAGCUCCUGCUGCAUGGUGGGGGUUGGAAAGUUUCGGCGGUUGGGGAUGGACUCGCGGCUUAUCAGCUUGUUGGUGGGGUAGUGGCUUACCAAGGCUUUGACGGGUAGCCGGCCUGAGAGGGUGACCGGCAACUUGCGGAGGGGGAUGCGGCCCAGACGCCUGAGGGGGGCGGCAGGGGUCAAGAUGGAGCGGCGGGCGGAGGGCGGAGGGAGCGAGCGCGGGUGCGCUGUGAAGGCUGGCGCGCUGGAACACGCGUGCGCCGGGGAAGGAGCGUGCGUGACGGUAAUGGGUAAAGAAGCACCUGAUAACGACGGGCAAGGCGAGGGGGGAAAUAACAACGAGCACACGUCUGAAC